GAUGAGCAUGCGUCCCAUUAGCUAGUUGGUAAGGUAACGGCUUACCAAGGCAACGAUGGGUAGGGGUCCUGAGAGGGAGAUCCCCCACACUGGUACUGAGACACGGACCAGACUCCUACGGGAGGCAGCAGUGAGGAAUAUUGGACAAUGGGCGCAAGCCUGAUCCAGCCAUGCCGCGUGCAGGAUGACGGUCCUAUGGAUUGUAAACUGCUUUUGUACGAGAAGAAACACUCCUAUGUAUAGGAGCUUGACGGUAUCGUAAGAAUAAGGAUCGGCUAACUCCGUGCCAGCAGCCGCGGUAAUACGGAGGAUCCAAGCGUUAUCCGGAAUCAUUGGGUUUAAAGGGUCCGUAGGCGGUUUGGUAAGUCAGUGGUGAAAGCCCAUCGCUCAACGGUGGAACGGCCAUUGAUACUGCCAGACUUGAAUUAUUAGGAAGUAACUAGAAUAUGUAGUGUAGCGGUGAAAUGCUUAGAGAUUACAUGGAAUACCAAUUGCGAAGGCAGGUUACUACUAAU
rnacentral:rRNA from 1 species